rnacentral:rRNA from 1 species
UACAGAGGGUGCAAGCGUUAAUCGGAAUGACUGGGCGUAAAGGGUGCGUAGGCGGCUUUCUAAGUUUGAUGUGAAAUCCUGGGGCUCAACCCUGGAACUGCAUUGAAUACUGGGAGGCUAGAGUACUGGAGAGGAAACUGGAAUUUACGGUGUAGCAGUGAAAUGCGUAGAGAUCGUAAGGAAGACCAGUGGCGAAGGCGAGUUUCUGGACAGUUACUGACGCUGAGGCACGAAGGCCAGGGGAGCAAACGGG